ACGCACGCUGGCGGCGUGCUUCACACAUGCAAGUCGCACGGAAAGGCCCUGCUUUUGUGGGGUGCUCGAGUGGCGAACGGGUGAGUAACACGUGAGUAACCUGCCCUUGACUUUGGGAUAACUUCAGGAAACUGGGGCUAAUACCGGAUAGGAGCUCCUGCUGCAUGGUGGGGGUGGGAAAGUUUCGGCGGUUGGGGAUGGACUCGCGGCUUAUCAGCUUGUUGGUGGGGUAGUGGCUUACCAAGGCUUUGACGGGUAGCCGGCCUGAGAGGGUGACCGGCCACAUUGGGACUGAGAUACGGCCCAGACUCCUACGGGAGGCAGCAGUGGGGAAUAUUGCACAAUGGGCGGAAGCCUGAUGCAGCAACGCCGCGUGCGGGAUGACGGCCUUCGGGUUGUAAACCGCUUUCGCCUGUGACGAAGCGUGAGUGACGGUAAUGGGUAAAGAAGCACCGGCUAACUACGUG
rnacentral:rRNA from 1 species